rnacentral:rRNA from 1 species
GGUCUGGUGGUCAUAGCACGAGCAAAACACCCGAUCCCAUCCCGAACUCGGCCGUUAAGUGCCGGCGCGCCAAUGGUACUGCGUCUCAAGACGUGGGAGAGUAGGUCACCGCCAGACCUG